CAAUCAAACCGGGAGAUAGCUGGUUCUCCCCGAAAGCUAUUUAGGUAGCGCCUCGUGAAUUCAUCUCCGGGGGUAGAGCACUGUUUCGGCUAGGGGGCCAUCCCGGCUUACCAACCCGAUGCAAACUGCGAAUACCGGAGAAUGUUAUCACGGGAGACACACGGCGGGUGCUAACGUCCGUCGUGAAGAGGGAAACAACCCAGACCGCCAGCUAAGGUCCCAAAGUCAUGGUUAAGUGGGAAACGAUGUGGGAAGGCCCAGACAGCCAGGAUGUUGGCUUAGAAGCAGCCAUCAUUUAAAGAAAGCGUAAUAGCUCACUGGUCGAGUCGGCCUGCGCGGAAGAUGUAACGGGGCUAAACCAUGCACCGAAGCUGCGGCAGCGAACGUAUCACCCAAGACAACUUUACGGAGUUGACGAUUGACGGAGCGAAGCGACGUCAAAGCGUUCAUUAAAGUCGAGUUGGCUUAGGGAUACGUUCGUUGGGUAGGGGAGCGUUCUGUAAGCCUGUGAAGGUGUGUCGUGAGGCAUGCUGGAGGUAUCAGAAGUGCGAAUGCUGACA
rnacentral:rRNA from 1 species